rnacentral:rRNA from 1 species
AACGCGAAGAACCUUACCAGGUCUUGACAUCCCGAUGCUAUUUCUAGAGAUAGAAAGUUACUUCGGUACAUCGGUGACAGGUGGUGCAUGGUUGUCGUCAGCUCGUGUCGUGAGAUGUUGGGUUAAGUCCCGCAACGAGCGCAACCCUAUUGUUAGUUGCCAUCAUUCAGUUGGGCACUCUAGCGAGACUGCCGGUAAUAAACCGGAGGAAGGUGGGGAUGACGUCAAAUCAUCAUGCCCCUUAUGACCUGGGCUACACACGUGCUACAAUGGUUGGUACAACGAGUUGCGAGUCGGUGACGGCGAGCUAAUCUCUUAAAGCCAAUCUCAGUUCGGAUUGUAGGCUGCAACUCGCCUACAUGAAGUCGGAAUCGCAAGUAAUCGCGGAUCAGCACGCCGCGGUGAAUACGUUCCCGGGCCUU